rnacentral:misc_RNA from 1 species
GAUGAAGAACGUAGCGAAAUGCGAUACUUGGUGUGAAUUGCAGAAUCCAGUGAAUCAUCGAAUCUUUGAACGCACAUUGCGCCCGCCAGCAUUCUGGCGGGCAUGCCUGUUCGAGCGUCAUUUCAACCCUCGACCUCCCCUUGGGGAGGUCGGCGUUGGGGACCGGCAGCACACCGCCGGCCCUGAAAUGGAGUGGCGGCCCGUCUGCGGCGACCUCUGCGUAGUAAUACAGCUCGCACCGGAACCCCGACGCGGCCACGCCGUAAAACACCCACCUUCUGAACGUUGACCUCGAAUCAGGUAGGACUACCCGCUGAACUUAAGCAUAUCAAUAAGCGGAGGA